rnacentral:rRNA from 1 species
AGUCGAACGAAGCGCUUAAAUGGAUUUCUUCGGAUUGAAGUUUUUGUGACUGAGUGGCGGACGGGUGAGUAACGCGUGGGUAACCUGCCUCAUACAGGGGGAUAACAGUUAGAAAUGACUGCUAAUACCGCAUAAGCGCACAGUGCUGCAUGGCACAGUGUGAAAAACUCCGGUGGUAUGAGAUGGACCCGCGUCUGAUUAGCUGGUUGGUGGGGUAACGGCCUACCAAGGCGACGAUCAGUAGCCGGCCUGAGAGGGUGAACGGCCACAUUGGGACUGAGACACGGCCCAAACUCCUACGGGAGGCAGCAGUGGGGAAUAUUGCACAAUGGGGGAAACCCUGAUGCAGCGACGCCACGUGAGCGAAGAAGUAUUUCGGUAUGUAAAGCUCUAUCAGCAGGGAAGAAAAUGACGGUACCUGACUAAGAAGCACCGGCUAAAUACGUGCCAGCAGCCGCGGUAAUACGUAUGGUGCAAGCGUUAUCCGGAUUUACUGGGUGUAAAGGGAGCGUAGACGGUUGUGUAAGUCUGAUGUGAAAGCCCGGGGCUCAACCCCGGGACUGCAUUGGAAACUAUGUAACUAGAGUGUCGGAGAGGUAAGCGGAAUUCCUAGUGUAGCGGUGAAAUGCGUAGAUAUUAGGAGGAACACCAGUGGCGAAGGCGGCUUACUGGACGAUCACUGACGUUGAGGCUCGAAAGCGUGGGGAGCAAACAGGAUUAGAUACCCUGGUAGUCCACGCCGUAAACGAUGACUACUAGGUGUCGGGGAGCAAAGCUCUUCGGUGCCGCAGCAAACGCAAUAA